rnacentral:rRNA from 1 species
UACGGGGGGGGGCAAGCGUUUGUUCGGAAUUACUGGGCGUAAAGGGCGCGUAGGCGGUUCGCUAAGUUGAAUGUGAAAACUCUGGGCUCAACCCAGAGCCUGCAUCCAAAACUGGCGGGCUAGAGUUCUGGAGGGGGUAGCGGAAUUCCUGGUGUAGCGGUGAAAUGCGUAGAUAUCAGGAGGAACACCGGUGGCGAAGGCGGCUACCUGGACAGAAACUGACGCUGAGGCGCGAAAGCUAGGGGAGCAAACAGG